GCUCCGGUGGACUAGUGGUUAGAGCGUCCGCCUCAGAUGCUGGAGGUCGUGGGUAGAUGCUGGAGGUCGUGGGUUCGAUCCCCGAUCGAGUCA